UCUGCCCUCUGGUUUGGGAUAUCGUAGGGAAACUUACGUUAAUACCGGAUAUUGUCUAUGGACUAAAGGUGGCCUCUAUUUAUAAGCUAUCGCUAGGGGAUGAGCCCAUAUUAGAUUAGCUAGUUGGUGGGGUAAUGGCUCACCAAGGUGACGAUCUAUAGCUGGUUUGAGAGGAUGAUCAGCCACACUGGGACUGAGACACGGCCCAGACUCCUACGGGAGGCAGCAGUGGGGAAUAUUGGACAAUGGGGGAAACCCUGAUCCAGCCAUGCCGCGUGUGUGAAGAAGGCCCGAGGGUUGUAAAGCACUUUUAUUAAGGAGGAAAGGUAGGUUGCUAAUAUCGGCCUACUGUGACGUUACUUAAAGAAAAAGCACCGGCUAACUCAGUGCCAGCAGCCGCGGUAAUACUGAGGGUGCAAGCGUUAUUCGGAAUUACUGGGCGUAAAGCGCGCGUAGGCGGAUUGUUAAGUCGGAUGUGAAAGCCCUGGGCUCAACCUAGGAAUUGCAUUCGAUACUGGCCAUCUAGAGUUUAGUAGAGGGAAGGGGAAUUUCUGGAGUACCAGUGAAAUGCGUAGAUAUCAGAAGGAACAUCCAGUGGCGAAGGCGUCUUCCUG
rnacentral:rRNA from 1 species